GCGCAGCGAGCGGCGGCUGUCCGGGAUCCAUAGUCCCUGCGGGGGUUAUGGAUUCCGGGCUCGCGCUCGCUGCGCGAGCUGCGCCCC
rnacentral:tRNA from 1 species